rnacentral:lncRNA from 1 species
UUUUUCUUUUUUCUUUUUUUUUUUUUUCUCAAAGUAGUGUUCAGUUGACAUCUGUACAACUGGGAAGGACUUUCCAGAAGUUCCAUGGCAAUGACGAAGCUGGUCAAACAUAGUUCUGUUAGCACAGCUGAAGGGCUGGAAGGUGGGGAGAAAUCCCAGGUAUGAAUGAGCCUUCUCCCAAGAGAAACCACAGCAGAAAGCCAGGUUCUUCCUGUAAAAUCAGUAUGCAUUUUGGAGGAUGAGACUUGACCAAAAAUAAUCUGUCCCUGGGAAAUGUAAUUAAGCAUUCUGAUACUUACUUUACUCUGGCAGUCUGGUAAAGAUUACAGAUUAUGGAAUGUUAUGUGGUCUUUCUCCACACCUAUUAUUUUGUACCAUAGUUGUUUUACUGAACUCUGCAUAGAGUAGAACACUUGCUUUUCAUUUAAACAUGACCAUUGUCCAGGCUUGGGGAGUGACUUAGGUGUGGCCAGCUAAGGGAACACUGCCCUCUGUUUCCCAGAGUGACAUUCCCCUUCAAGGUAACACUCACACCCCAUUCUAUGGGACCAGGGGUGGAAAAUGGAGCUCCAUCAAACCACCAAAGCCCAUCAUCUGGCAAGAAGGAUUCCCCACACUGAGAAGAAUUAAGCUGAGUAUCUUGGUCAAAAAGAAGGAAAACAUGGGAGCUCCAGAGCCAAGUCUGUCUUCCACACUACAACAGAGAAUAUGGAAAACUGACUCAAAAGAAAAUGUCCAAAUAUUUAUUUGGUAAUGCUUUGUCUUAAAUAGAGCUAAACAUAUUCUAUAAAAUCAAGCAAGCCCUGUUUAAAUAUUUGGUGUCUUAAAUCCAGGAACCUUGGACUAGUGGCAUCAAAAGGAACUGAACCUGCAGCCUCUCUAAUUUACACCAAACACAGAAACAAGGUCAGGAAAACUGGUGAAACUACUCAUUAAAAGUUGUAUUUUACAUGACUUUCUUGAUAGCAGAGUCUCCUUGUGCAGGGGUGAACUGAUCUGAGAGCAAGUUGCCUUUAUUCUAAUUCCAGAUGGUGAAAAAGAAAGACUCUGAAUAACAAGAGUGUCAGGUGGCCAAACAUAUGUAACAUAAAUUCAGAUUCUGGCAGUUUCAUGAAGACUUAGGUGAUGCUCAUCCCUUUACUGCACUACUAUUUAAUUUAGUCUCUCUGGCAUGAGUCUCCCUAACUGCAAGAGAAAGAAGCACAACCACACUCCUUUUACAACCUGUGUGGCCACCCCACCUGUGGGUAGCUGAACCUUUCAGAGCAUUUUCCUACCUGCUAAACUGUUAAAAUAGUUCCAUAACCUGAAGAGGAUAACAUAUUGUUCUAGAAUUCUCUCAAGUUAGUCUUCAAUUAGGAAAGUUUGACAACUGGGUGUGAUCAGUUCCUUCAUUCAAGCUGAAUCCAAACUGUGUGUUCCACUCUCUGAAACAGCAGCCAUUUGACAGCUGUUUAUUCUCAAGCCUGUGUGUUGUGCCCAUUUCCUCCUCCCUGCUCAGUUAUUUACUUUCAGAUUACAAACUCAUUAGAGCAGGUGUUACUCAGAGAAACAAAAGCAAAUGGACAGAAAAUAACCCGCCCUCAUCCCUAGAUCUUUGUUGGGCAGCAUAAAAUCCAGCACAUAUAGUACUAAAACAACCUUCCCAUUCUGCUUUUCAAAUGUCACUUGAUUAUAGCAUUAUAAAUUUUAUGCUGUCUGAAAGUGUGAGUGGUUACUUCCAAAGAACAUGAUUGUUUUAUUUUCCUGCAGUUCCUGCAAUGGAUAGCAUAAGUUAACUUCGGGAUUUCCUUAAAAAAUUCUGUUUUAAUUCUUGUCACAUUUAUUCUGAAUGCACAUUUUUCAUUGCCUCUUUUUGUCCUUGGAAUUUAUCCCCUACAUCUAACAUAUGUUGGUAAACUGUAUUUAUGAGCUGACCUAGUUAACUAAAAUAAAUUUCCAGGUAGGUAGUACUAACAAGAAUAUUUUAACAACUUUAAAACUGACAAAUUUGCAGAACCUGACCCCAGUUUUCAAGAGGAAUAAAAAAAGGAGCAAAAUAAAACAAAUACAGCCAAACUGAUACUUUUUAAAUACAGACCAAACAAAAAUCAAAAUUUAAUGAAUAAUCUGCACUGAAAAAUAUUUGGGGUGGAGUUAUGUUUGUCAACUGUGUCACUACCGCCAAGGUGACCUACCUAAAUGCUUGAUGAUAUUUAGCUUGGUAUCUUGUUUUCAUUAAUAUUCAGCUAUCUUCAAAUAGACUAAUUCCAAAAUUUCCUUUUCCCCUUCUUUUUUUCUUCUUUUAGGAUGUCAAAGUAAGACCUGGGAUAGUCACCAGUGAGUACAGCCAUCUCCAACAAAUGGAGGGAGCUGCAUCAUCCACAGAUUGAUGCCAUGAAGAGAAGAGGCAGCUGAGCUGAGCAGCUGGGCUGGGAAGUGUGGCCAGGCCUCAGAAGAGGCUUGGUGGAAGAUUUUGCUACUUUGGGUAAGGCAUUGACUGACUACAUACUGAGACUACUGAGCUUUGCUGAAAUCCAGAACGGGAAGGAGGAUUUCAUAACAGCUCACUAAAUGUAUUUGAUAGUUAAUAUCUAUCACAUCAGAUAUCAAAUAAAGCUGAAACAUAAGUAUUUUAUAUAUAAAGUAUUCCAUACUACAAAUAAAAAUUAUAACAAACCAUUUUUCCAAGAGAGAUAAACAAUAAUGUAUACAUUCUUAAAAGAAAUACAAUAGGCUAUUUUUUAAAAUCAGCACUGAAGUGCAAAUACAAUUGCAUUUUAUAAUGUCUGACUUAUAAAUCUACCCCUUUAGAGGGGCCAAGCUAAUAGGAGACUAUCUUUUACACAGACACAGUUAAAGAUUUCAUGCCUUUGAGACCUUAAGAGAAAUAGUGGCAUAAACUAAUCCUACCCUCAAAACCCAUUUCCCUGUUGCCAUGUCAUGGACACCAGCACGAAUACCAGCACUGAUUUCACUGCUUGUGAGCCAGGCUGUGGUUUAUAUCCAUUUUUUUUUUUAUUUAAUCCAAACCAAUACCCCUUACAAAAGCAAGAUCAACAGUCACUGUCAGGAAUAGCAUAAAAUUUUGCUACUGCCCUUCUGUACUGCAAAGCUGCAGGCUGGCAGUAGUUUAAAAAAACACAGACAAUUGCUUGGCACACAAACUCUUCCUCAAGCCUGAAGAUGAGGCAUGACCUUCCAGUGAAGUAAAGUUGUUGCCUAAAACAACUGCUCUGAGCUUAACUGAAUUGUAUCAACCAACUAAAAAGUUGUAGAGAUAAGACAACUGCUCUUGGUGCAGAGCAGAAUAAUAAGAUUAUAAGGUUACAAGGUUAUAACAUCUUUACCCCUUUUAGGGCAGCAACACACAGACAGGUAAUCAUCUCCUGCAGAAUAAUGUGAGCAGAAGAUUUCUGUGCACCAGAAAUUCAAAACACCUCAUUCAGCAUCCAUAACUGAUUUUCAUAAGGUAUCUUGUAGAAUAUGUUGAGGUUCAGACUUGAGAGAUCAAAGAUUAAUUGGGGAAGAGGGAGUAAAAAAGGGAGGCUUACAUGUAUCUGGAUAUUUCCUGAGGUUUGCUGAACUUGUUAAGUCCAUUGCAAUACAUAAUGUGUGUUUGGUCCCUACUGCAUUGUUUUCUAUGAGGACAUUUGGAAGUCUGUGACAUUUUGGGAGACACAACCAUCCCUGUACAUUACCUUGUUCUCUCUGGCUGUGAUUUCAAGCUUAUGUAACCAUCAUUGCAUGCUGCUAAGCUAUGACUGAAAGAAGAGACCUUACACCCACUACAACCAGCUGUACUUCCCAUAAAACUUCUAGUUACUCAUUUUACAUGUAAAAACAGCUUGUUUAAUCAAUAUGUUACUUGGAAGCAAAAUAGACAGCAUUGUAAGCACUAACUCUCUGUCCAGAGAGACUGUGUACCAACAAACUAUUUGGUUUGGUUUGGUAUUUAAGUACCAUUUGCUGAAACAAACUAUAGGGGGGAAAAACACAGUAAGAUGUGAUCAUUUACUAAUCUACUUCUCAAGAAGUUCUUCUCAAAAAAGAAUAAAAUCUAUAAAGUUUAGUUCCUCUAAUCUUCAGAAAUAAAACUCCCUAAUUGUUGGAUGAGUAUGGCUGUUCUGAAUGGCAAACUCUUACUGGCAAUGCAGGAAUACAUUGACACUGUGGGAUGGUUGAGGUAGAUAUAGAACCCUUCCACCACCUCACAAAUAAAGGCCUUAAAACUCACAUAAGAAAGCUCAUUAAUGUGUGUACACAUUGACAUCCAUUCCCUUCAUGCUUUCCCUUGACUGUCCAUAACUCAUGUCUUCAUGGUCCCCUUCCUUCAGCCCUCUAAUACCAGACACCCCUGCCUUUUUCUCUGUCUUGCCUGCAGAGCUCCUGCACAUUUACCUGCUUUUUCCCCUUGGCUUGCUCAUUCUGUUACGCCCAUUUCUCCUCUCUGUCAUUUGGAGGUCCCCUUCACUUGUUUGCAAUUACCAGAGGCUGAUUUUCUCAGAGAAAUUUCUUUCAAAUAUUACAAUUAUCCAUCAACCAUCUCACUUCAAUCCCUUACGUGACAAACAUGCUUGGCUACUCAUAGAACCUCCCUAAACAGCUCACUGGCAAGACCUACAGAUCUCAGACAGGUUUUGAAGAAAUGUAGCUGGAGAGCCUCAAGCAACAUAACUUUAGUUUAAGCUCCUUCAUUAGUCUCAGCUAGGGGGGAAAGACAGGUGAAUCACUCUCCAAAUGUGUUUAACUCUCCCCCAGUUUAACCUGAGCAACGAUUUUUGAAGAGCUGAAGUGCAGUACCUACCAUGUAGAUAUUUACAGAUAUUUGCCCUAGCCUGGGAAAUGUAUUUAAGAUAAUGCUAAGUGGAAAGCAAUAGCUGCACUCAGGGAGACAUUUAUCUGACCUGUGUUAGAUAUGUACAGUUGGGUAAAAUUAAUUGAAAUUUAUAAACUAGAAAUAGGUUAAAAGGAGCCUAGAGUGAUUAGCUCAAUUAAUUACAUUUAGUUAGAUGAUUCCCAACCCUUACACGAAGAGAAAUAAAUCCUUUCUAUUCCCAGAGCAGUUUCUCAUAGUGUAUAUGCAUUUCUCGACUCCACUUUUUGCCACAGCUUGGGUCUGAAAUAAUGAAUUAAUAGUUUUAUUUUGCAAAUCUCUUAUCCUUCUAGUCACCUUCCUUCAUGUUCUCAUGCCUCAGACUUACACACUGAACAUCUCAGGUUUGCUGCUGCAAUUGACUGCUUCUUCCAAGAGAAAAGGUAACUCCAUUUAAUCUUAAAUUUACAUCUUUACAGAUCAUAUAUAACUCACUAAUCUCCGUUUCUGAUCUCCUAUUCUAAAGAAUUAAUUUCUCAUUCUGUCCUUUAAACAUCCACAUUCCAACAUGCUUCUCUCUAUUCCUUGGCUUCUCUUCUGCUUGCUUUCCUUCUUCAUCUGCAUCUUCACCUGCUUACUCCUCAUUUGCAAAUAUAAAACUGUUUGACAAACAACAAUAUUACUCACUGCCUUCCUAGAUUAUUAACAAUGACCAUGCUGAGCCCAAACAAAUACACAUCCAGCUCAGCACUUCUCUGAUGGAAGCUAGCAGUGAACUUUGCCUCUCGGAAACUUUCCUCCUCUGCCAAAAUUAUGCUCAAAACCAAGUCAAUUUUUCCUCCAGUUACUGAAUUUCCUCCCAAAUUUGCCUGCUUUGCCUAAACACCAGCACAGGUUUUAGCAAUACAGUAGAUACAAUGAUUUUGUAAGAAUAACUGAAGAAAUUUUAGCUAAAUUUUAGGCUACAUUGUCAGUGGGAUGAGACCAAAAUAUGUAUCAUUCUCAGGCAGCUGGAAUAUACCCUGCCUUUUGAUUGCACAAGUCUCCUUACGGAUUUGGACACAUACGAAUGAUGGCAACCACCUACAACUGAGCUCAUGUUCUCUGCUCUCUUUGCAGGCAGUGGCAAUCUGACUGACACAGGGGACCUCAGCUCCUCUUCUCCAUGAGCUCAGCACCCCCAGGGACUGCAGCUGCCCUUUCCUCCCCGUGGCAGUCCCAGCACAGUGCUGUCUAUAACCCACCCUGCUCACAAAGUACACAGGCCACUGCCUGCCUGUCAGCAGCGUGUCAACGUGAGCUGCCCUGGGCUGUGUCAGCAGAGCUGCUCAAAUAUUCCGGGAUCUCACUGCCAGGAGGAAGGCAAUUCCCCCCAGAAGGCUGCCUGACGUCAUGGAACCAUGGUGGUGUGCUCUGGUGAGGUUUAGAAGGGCUGGGGCACACUCAGGUAGGAAGCAGAGAUAAGAUUGCUUGCCAAAACCUUCUCUGCUUUCUCUUAGUCAACAAAACAAACAAGAACACACAAAAAAAAAAUCUCCCAGGAAAUCCCAUCCUAUGAGCAAUCUUAAGAGCACCGUGCAACUGCUUCCUUUUACUGAUAGAGAAAUAAUUCACUUCCUGUCCACUUGCAACUUUGAACACAAACAAGUUACAGGAAAAAAGCUAUUGUAGAACAGUCAUGGCAUGAUGCCAACAAUAUUAAUGCAUGUUCUUACCUGUAAUUCAGUGGAACUGACAGAUAGACAUGCCUUGAUAUCAAUCUACCUUAAAGCUGCUUUUUAAUGUAACUGAUAACUUAAGAAACAUUUCUAGGAUAUGCAAAAAUAUUUUUGAUGAAGGGAAGAAUCCAGUUUCUUACACUGAAUCCUUCACAUUCUGAGCACACAACCUUGUCUCAAUUAAAUUAUUUUGUUGUUAUUUUUAUUUUCUAGUAUUAUAUCAUAAAUUACACUCCACCAUCAAUAAUUACAUCAAAUAAAUACAUUAUUAAAAAAACAGAGUGCCUGUGAGAAGUUCCAAAUGAAUGCAACUGGAAAGUCAGUCAAUUGUUUUUUGUACUGAAUGGAUGGUAAAACUCUAUUUCUCCUACUUUCUCAGCCAGUCUGCUGCAAGCCCCAAACCAGAACUUUGGUGCAAAUGCUACUGAAGUCAAUGGGAAGGUUGACAUGGACUUCAGUGAGCUUCAGCUCAAUUGCUGCAAGAAGCAAAACUUCUGUCCUCAUGGAUCUUCAAAGCGGUGAACAAUGAUGGCUCAGAACAGCUGUGGUAGUUCUGUUGAGGUAAUAUCCACCCAACAAGAACUAAACCAAGAUACAUGUUUUUAAU